GCGCUCAUAGCUCAAUUGGUAGAGCACUUGAUUGUGGAUCAAGAGGUUACGGGUUCAAGACCCGUUGAGCGCC
rnacentral:tRNA from 1 species